rnacentral:tRNA from 1 species
GCAAGGUGAAUAGCUAACCCACUACCUUGACAUGGUAGGGGUCGGUGGUUCGAGUCCACUAGGACGCACCA